UUGUGACACAUAGGGCUUGCUUUUCGUGAUUACUAUGAAAUAGAUGGCGGACUCAAUUCAUCAGGAACUGGAAGGACGACAUCUCUCUCAGAAAAAAGGGAAAUAAAAGACGAGAGAAUCCUGCCUUUAUUUUGACUACCCUAGGCUAGAGGACUUGACGGACCACCUCAGAGGUCGGAAGAAGAUUCUUGGAGACCACGUCAACCCUUGCUGAAAGGGGUAUGGGGGACAAGCAGGGCAUAUAGCCCAUAAAGAGGGGGAAUCCGUUCGUUCAUACGCACACCAACUGGAUCAUCCACAGCGAAGAUAAUACUCGAAAAGGGACUACGAGUCACCUUCUUUGAGCAAUAUUCUAUUUUUCAGAGAGAAGAAUGACCAAAAGUAGACCUGACCUGAACAAGUACAUCCGACCUUUCGUCUUGAUUCAUAAUCAAGAAAGACGGGAUCUAAAGGCACGCAAUUCUUGAUCUUUUUAGAAUUCUGAAGGACAUCGAUCU
rnacentral:lncRNA from 1 species